rnacentral:lncRNA from 1 species
AUCAGUGGCAUCCAUAGGAUCAGUGGGAUCAGUGGGAUGUAUGGGAUCAUCAGUGGGGUCAUGAGAUCAGUGGGAUUGCUGGGAUGGAUGGGACCAUCAGUGAGGUCAUGGGAUCAGUGUGAUCGCUGGUGUGGAUGGGAGCAUCACUGGGAUCCAUGGGAUCAGUGGGAUCGUUGGGAUGGAUGGGAUCAUCAGUGGGGUCAUGGGAUCGAUGGGUGACAUGGGUGGGAUCAAUGGUGGGAUCAAUGGGAUGGAUGGGAUCAUUGGGGUCAUGGGCUCAAUGGGUGAUAUGGGUGGGAUCAGGGAUGGGAUCAUCAGCGGCAUCCAUGGGAUCAGUGGGAUCAGUGGGAUGGAUGGGAACAUCAGUGGGGUCAUGGGAUGAAUGAAUGGUUGACAUGGGUGAGGUCACUGGUGGCAUCAGUGGGAUCAGUGGGAUUUCUGGGAUGGAUGGGAUCAUUGUUGGGAUGGGUGGGAUCAUCAGUGGGGUCAUGAGAUCAGUGGGAUUGCAGGGAUGGAUGGGAUGAUCAGUGAGGUCAUGGGAUCAGUGUGAUCACUGGUGUGGAUGGGAUAAUCACUGGGAUCCAUGGGGUCAGUGGGAUCUUUGGGAUGGAUGGGAUCAUCAGUGGGGUCAUGAGAUCAGUGGGAUUGCUGGGAUGGGUGGGAUGAUCAGUGAGGUCAUGGGAUCAGUGUGAUCGCUGGUGUGGAUGGGAUCAUCACUGGGAUCCAUGGGAUCAGUGGGAUCGUUGGGAAGGGUGGGAUCAUCAGUGGGGUCAUGGAAUCGGUGGGUGACAUGGGUGGGAUCAAUGGUGGGAUCAGUGGGAUGGGUGGGAUCAUUGGUGGGGUCAUGGGAUCGAUGGGUGACACGGGUGGGGUCACCAGUGGGAUCAUCGGUGACAUCAGUGGGAUCAAUAGGAUCACUGGAAUGGAUGGGAGCAUCUGUGGGAUGGAUGGGAUCAUCAGUGGGGUCAUGGGAUCAGUGGGAUUGCUGGGAUGGAUGGGAUCAUCACUGGGGUCAUGGGAUCGAUGGGUGACAUGGGUGCGGUCAUGGAUGGGAUCAUCACUGGCAUGCAUGGGAUCAGUGGGAUCAGUGGGAUGGAUGGGAUCAUCACUGGGGUCAUGGGAACAUCAGUGGCAUCCAUGGGAUCAGUGGGAUCAGUGGGAUGGAUGGGAUCAUCAGCGGCAUCCAUGGGAUCAGUGGGAUCAGUGGGAUGGAUGGGAUCAUCAGCGGCAUCCAUGGGAUCAGUGGGAUCAGUGGGAUGGAUGGGAUGAUCAGUGAGGUCAUGGGAUCAGUGUGAUCACUGGUGUGGAUGGGAUCAUCACUGGGAUCCAUGGGAUCAGUGGGAUCGUUGGGAUAGGUGGGAUCAUCAAGUGGGGUCAUGAGAUCAGUGGGAUUGCUGGGAUGGAUGGGAUCAUGCAGUGGGGUCAUGGGAUCGGUGGAUGACAUGGGUGGGGUCACCAAUGGGAUCAUCGGUGACAUCAGUGGGAUCAAUAGGAUCACUGGAAUGGAUGGGAACAUCAGUGGGCUGGGUGGGAUCAUCAGUGGGGUCAUGGGAUCGAUGGCUGACAUGGGUGGGAUCAG